AAGCACCCGAUACUAGCCUGACAGCCCAGUAACCCUCACCAGGGUUUUUAAAUGGCUGCUUGGGUUUGAACGGUGCAAAAAUAUAUGAUCAGCCAUGAGAUUUAAGCUUUUCAGUGAAAGGCAACACUGUGAGGUUAUUACUCAGAGGCACAUAU